CGCUCUCUGGUUCAAAAUAUUGAUUUAUUUAUAUCAAUGAAUUAAUCAUUUUUGUUUGUAUAUACGUAACUGCUGUCACUCAUUGUAGCUUACCCCUUGAAGACUGGUAGUCGAAAUUAGCUCGUAAAAUAAAUAUUUUGAAGCAGAGAGCGUUUAAAAACUUAAUAUGAAAACCAAACAGAUUGCCAAAUUUAAAACACACUCAGCGCGUGCUAUGGUUCUAGAUAGUUCGUUUUGUGUUUACAAAACGGAUGAUCCUUGAGCUGAAAGAUUAUUCCUUUCAAUCUGGUAUAGAUUGUAAAACAAUGCAUUUUCGAUUGAAUUGAUAUGGAAUUGCAAGAUAUGUGAUGCAAAAUGACUGUCUGCUUACGCCUGACAAUUUUACUCUUUCUUAUAUCCGAAAUAGGUGGGUUUCACUGGCGUAAAUUUCGUUAAAUUGCAUAUAUUUGAUACCAAACACAAAAUCAAUACUCGAUCCGAUAGUUCCCAAGCGCUAAACGUGUCACGUGACUGAAACCCAACUAUAGGAAAAAUUAUUGACGUGACUGACCUGAUGUCACCUAUAGGUUAAUAGAGGUCACCUGCGGACGCGCCCUGUUCAUAAUAUGGUCUAUCUAAUUAACUUAAACGCAUUAAUUCUUAAAAAGGCGUGCGCUCUGUCACAUUGCUUUUCAUUAAUUAAUUUGAUUUACACUGUAAUGGGAUAACAUUGAUAGAUUUUUAAUAAAGCAAAAUCUAUGAAAAUAAAGCUUUAGCUAACGGGGCUAUUUCACUUCAUGUACCUUUAUAUAUCAAAAUGUUAUAGUUAAUAUCGAAAGUUAUCGGCGUGGGUCAUUAAUUAAUCUUUCCGCAUAAAUUCCGUUUCGAAAAUUACAUUUUGUGCGUCAAACGACAGAGUUUCCACUUUGAAGGAAAUCUUAUUGUCAAAGAAAUUUAAGCAGAGAAAAAAGAGGAAAUAAAAUUAAUGCAAAUAAUAUGAAAAGCUAAGCAAAGUGCAAACUAAAGAAAACAAAUAAAAUUGAGACUUAUCUGGUAGUUUUUAUAUGUAACGUAGAAAUAAACAUAAAUAAAUUUUGG